AUGUUCCUUCAAAGACUUCAAACUCCCCCUGUCUGUGUAUUCUCCUUCGAUAUGUCCGCCGUUCACCUCCAUUCUCAGUCGUCUCUCUCUGCUUCAAUCACCAACUCUCUGCUACAACUAUACCUCAAUAUUCUCUUCUUCACCGAUUCCUUCUCCUAUUCCUCAAACCUAAACAAAUCUAGAAAAUAA